UAGACUUCAUGCGUUGACUCAAAAAAACUCAGAGAGCAAUUACUAAACACCUUGGAUUCGUCAUUUUAAAAAGUCAGAACAAUCUAUGCACAAGAGCUGCUGGCAGAAGUAGACACCAUGAAUCUUUUUUCUUAACUGUCGGCAUGGAUUCUAAUUCUUAACUGUUGGCAAAGAAGAUAUAAAUCAGUCUCUUAAC